GGUGAAUUAAAUAGACCGGCCAGGGAUCUACCGAUUGUGGUACGCGUAAGACAAUCAAUUAUACGCGUACAAAUCGCUUGUGUCACGGUUUUAUGUUUUGUUUACAUUACUCGAUGGAACACGCCGGCGCGGCGACUGCACGAGCAUACGCCCCACCUGAUGGUGAGUGGUUGGUGGAGUGGACGUCGGCAAUGCCAGGGGCAGAGCCAAGCCGCUGCCUACCGACUCACCAUAUUCACACGUUAAAAAAAUUGUCGCUUUUCAUAUAAAGGUGUUUGCCUAUUAUACCGUAUCGUAACCGAAGCCGUAUAUAUGUAAAAACUAUGUAAAAAAAUAUUGUAUUUUUAACUAAACACAACGGCCACUAGUACGUUCCUUCACGGACUAAAUCUGUUGCAUGUUGUACUUAUUAGAUCGAAGAGAAUAAUAAUAUUUCGCUGUGUGCGACAAACAAUCCUACGGCUCAUAUAAUAAGAGGUCACCGUAGUUUGUGGAAAAUCGCAAGUGGCCACGGUCUUAGUACUAUUUAAGGCUCGCUUGAACCCUGCGAAAUCACUGUAAGGAGGCCGAAUAAUCCUUCGUACUAUCGAGGUUCGUGUUAUGCGCCAGCUGUCAACAGCGUUACAGCCAGGCAAGAUCAACGUUCCAACCAAAUUGCCUUUUGAAUAGUCAAAAUUCACGCGUCCUACUACUGAGAACUUGAACCCGUGAAUUUGAGACGAGAACCUUAACCAAAUGAAAGAUAAACCAGGAGUAUAAUCCAUUAUACGGACCUGUAGUAUCUACAGCACGGGUGGGAUCAUAUAAAAAAAGCCAAAAUUUAUACGGUCAACGCCCGCUUUGUAUACGGGUAAGAUAAGCUAUUGACACGGUUCUAGGGCACAGUAAUAAUUUUUGUCGUUUUUUUUUCUGUGCCUAUUGCGUUCAUAGUACGAUAUGGUAAUACACGGUCUGCAGGGCAAAGAACUUGAAAUAGAAUACACGUGUAGAUUUUAAAAAGUACGUCGACCAUACUUUGAUAAUAAGUAACAUUAAUGUUAAAUUUAAAUUAGUUUCUUAAGCACAUACUCUUAAUAGACGCCCGGUAUACAUUGAUAUCCAUCAAUGCGACUGGGCCGGUGUUCGAAUCGUGCUAGCAGGUACCAAUCUUUUUGAUGAAAUAUGUGCUUAAAACUGUUCACGAAUUCCUUCCAUGGUGAAGAAAUAACAUCGAGUAAUAAAAAAAAUACCCAAAAAAAAUAAUAAUUGUGCGCGUGCAACUUGGUGCACGUGAAUGAAGUGAAACUUCUUAUUCGAUAUGUAGUAUUGUGGUUUUCUUCAUUUUUCAUCCAUAAAUCGGAUUGCUCUUGUAAUAGGAAAUGCUGUGUAUAAGAGAUGCGACAUUAUCAAAAUUUAUAUUAUAUUUUAAAUUAUAGAUAAAAAAUUUAUAUUAAAUAUAUUUUUAAAAUACCUCAUUAAAUUAUUGGACGCUACUCGUUGCUAACGCUCGCCCUGGCCUGUAACAGUUAUACUACGAGCAUGCGUUCGAGUGCCACUCAUUCACUCUCGCUCGGUCUCUUUCUAGUCCAUGGUAGCGUUAAACGUUUAACGCAACCUUGUUGGAAGUAGAAUUAGAAGUUUGACUUCAAAAAAAAAUUACGUAAUUAUUGGUGAUAGAGCAUUUUGUGAGCUCGCACGAGUAAGUAGCACCAUCCUGCUUAUUUCUGCCGUAAAGCAGUAAUGCGUUUGGUUUGAAGGGUGGGGCAGCCGUUGUACUGUAAAAACUGAGAUUUAGAACUCUUGUGUCAAGGUGGAUGGCGGCGUUUAUGUUAUUAAUGUGUAUGGGCUCCAGUGGCCACUCAACACCAGAUGGGCUAUGAGCUCGUCCACCUAUGCAGGGAAUAACAAAAUGAGGCCCCGGUACUCUAAAAAAAAUUUGACUCGUGUUAAAAAAACAAAUGUUAAAAAAAACCGCAAUUCUUUUUUCUUUUGAAAUUUAUUUAAAAAAAGAUCUAAUAAAAUCAUAAACGUUUAUAAUUAAAGACAAAAAUAGUUAGCUACAAAAUUUUAAUGAUUUAAAAAUUAAAUUGUACAGAAAAUAAUAUCACAAAAUAUAUUAUACAGUUAGUUCUACUAUACUAUAGUGUGUAAAUGUGUGUGUAAAAGCUAAGAAUGAAAUAAAAACAAUUGUUCUUACAACAGAACUUUUGCCGAAUUCGGCUUCGGCGUGCUGCCAAUUUAGGUGGUGCUCUUAUUAUUCUAAAGCUACAAUUAUUUGCAGUUGUCAUCAGAUAAUUUUACGAAAUUUUACGUGGUAAGUAGAACCUCUUGUGAGCCCGCGCCGGUAGGUACCACCACCCUGCCUAUUUCUGCAGUGAAGCAGUAAUGCGUUUCGGUCUGAAGGGUGGGGCAGCCGUUACAACUACGAGUAUACUGACACCUUAGAACUUCUAUGUCAAGGUGGGUGGCGCAUUUACGCUGUAGAUGCCUAUGGGCUCCAGUAACCACUUAACACCAGGUGGGUUGUGAGCUCGUCAACCCAUCUAAGCAAAAAAAAAAAAGUUUACAAUUAUUAUUAAUCUAGUGAGGUUAUAAGCUGUCGAUAAAUUGUGAGCCAACACUAAAACUUCGUAGAUUUAUAAACUGAUCAAUAUCCAGCCGCCAAAUCGUGAUUUUGCGUAUGACGAAUCGCAAAGUGCGCACUGAUUAGUUGAACGAUUCACCUGAUUUUUCACCGGUUCCCCCAUAAAUUAUGCACAUAAUAAUUAAGCUUUUUUAAGAUAGAUGUGCAACUCUCGUAUUUUUUUGCUUUAGUUUUAGUCUUGUACUGUAGAUGUCGCUGCAACCGAAUAUUAGUCUCCGCAGUCCUCACUAGGUGGCUCUUUUAUACUAUUCACCUUUUUUAAAGGAGCUCUUUUUGAAAAAUCUUCUCGCUUCCCGCCGCCAUUAUUCUCUAAUCGACAAGACAAUUUUGUGUGCGUUUUUAUUUAAUUUUAAAGAUAUUAAAAUCAAUUUUAAUAGUUACUAAUCAUAAUUAUUUUCCACUGCUAGUUCAUUUCUACAUUAAUCCACAAGCUCUAAUUCACUCUUGCCAGUAAUUUUUAACAUUGUUUAUUAAAUCGAACUUUUUAUCAUAACAUAAUACACACUCACUAGAUUAAUUAUAAAUAAUACUUCGUAUAAUUAUCCGAUGUCACAGUCAAAAUUUUCAUGAUAAUUCUGAUGAUACUAAGACUUUUUAAUAUACAUUACAUGAGAUUACGGAACUAAUGUACUAUUAUUAUAAAGAAAAGCAAGUGAAGUGAAAUUAAAAUUACGUUAUUAUUUCUUACAACUAAACUUAGAGAAAAUAAUUUGAUCAAGUCAAAAAGUUUAUCGAUGGUUCGAAUUAUUUAUUUAUUAUAAUUAGUAAUCUUGUUCAUAUGGUAUUUGUCUAAUCUACGCAUUAGAUUUAGUAUAAUUAAAAAUAUUUAAAUUAUUAAGUUAUUAUUAAGUUAAGUAUGUUUUUCAAAUAGUUUAAGUACGUUGAAAUUAAGUAGGUAUGUACCUUGUUAAAAAUUACAUUCUUUGUAAUUAAAAAUGUUAUAAAAUCAUUUACUAA